AGCAACGUGGAGCAAUGAACAUGAUGGUACUCCUUGAGACCAGAAAGGCAGCCUGGUGUUGUUUUUGAGUUACUGAGAUCAAGAUGAAGGAGCUGCUCUCUGCAUUCUGUCUGCUUCCCUCCCAGCUGUCAAACCCUGAGCUGUUAAAAACACAAAAUACAACAUUUUGCCCAUCAUCAUCCAAAUAAACCCAGUCCAUCCCAGCGAUGGAUUCUAGAAGCAAGUGGGAAGUUUUACAAAUUGC